rnacentral:snRNA from 2 species
GGGCUCACUUCAGUAGCACACAUGGUAAAACUGGAACAAUACAGAGAAGAUUCACACGGCCACCGUGCAAGGAAAACAUGUGAGUUCGUGAAGUGUUCUGUAUUUUC